rnacentral:rRNA from 1 species
UACGGAGGGUGCGAGCGUUGUUCGGAAUUACUGGGCGUAAAGCGCGUGCAGGCGCCAACUAAGUCCGGUGUGAAAGCCCGGGGCUCACCUCCGGAAGUGCGCUGGAAACUAGUUGGCUAGAGUACGGGAGAGGGAAGCGGAAUUCCUGGUGUAGCGGUGAAAUGCGUAGAUAUCAGGAGGAACACCGAUGGCGAAGGCAAUCCCCUGGGCCUGCACUGACGCUCAUGCACGAAAGCGUGGGGAGCAAACAGG